UGCUUUGGGGACUAGUGGGAUCAAACCUUGUGUUGAUCAGUACUGCCUUGAUGAUUUAGGAGCUGGCAGAACCAUCGAUAAGAGAUGCAUUUUUUUCUUGCAUUCAACAAGGUGCAGAUCAUGUGAUUGUAAGCCCAUUUUUUCUCUUCCUUGGACGACACUGGCAUCAGGAUAUUCCUUCGUUAGCUGCUGAAGCUGCAAAAGAACACCCUGAUGUGUCAUAUAUCGUUACUGCACCUCUUGGUCUGCAUGAUCUACUUGUGGUGCCUUGAUAAAGCCGCUGUAGUGUCAGAUGCUGAGAACAAAAGUGAGGAAUUCUCCAAUCCAUGGAGGCUUUGCACUGUAACACAGGUGGAAGAAUUGAAGAUUUUGAUCCGCAUGUUUCCAAUCUGGGCUACUGGAAUUGUCUUUUCUGCUGUUUAUGCCCAGAUGUGUACAAUGUUUGUGGAGCAAGGAAUGAUGAUGGACACAAGCAUUGGUUCUUUCACCAUUCCCGCAGCCUCUCUCUCAUCCUUUGAUGUCAUCAGUUUUAUUUUUUGGGUCCCCAUGUAUGAUAGGGUAAUUAUUCCAAUUGCAAGGAAAUUUAUUGGCAA